GACGAACGCUGGCGGCGUGCCUAAUACAUGCAAGUAGAACGCUGAAGCGAGGAGCUUGCUCUUCUUGGAUGAGUUGCGAACGGGUGAGUAACGCGUAGGUAACCUGCCUUGUAGCGGGGGAUAACUAUUGGAAACGAUAGCUAAUACCGCAUAACAAUAGGUGACACAUGUCAUUUAUUUGAAAGGGGCAAUUGCUCCACUACAAGAUGGACCUGCGUUGUAUUAGCUAGUAGGUGAGGUAACGGCUCACCUAGGCGACGAUACAUAGCCGACCUGAGAGGGUGAUCGGCCACACUGGGACUGAGACACGGCCCAGACUCCUACGGGAGGCAGCAGUAGGGAAUCUUCGGCAAUGGGGGCAACCCUGACCGAGCAACGCCGCGUGAGUGAAGAAGGUUUUCGGAUCGGAAAGCUCGGUUGUAAGUCAAGAACGAGUGUGAGAGUGGAAAGUUCACACUGUGACGGUAGCUUACCAGAAAGGGACGGCUAACUACGUG
rnacentral:rRNA from 1 species